AAGCUCGUAGUUGAAUUUCGGGGUUAGUAGGUUGGUCAUGCCCCCGGUAUGUACUGGUCUCACUGAUUCCUCCUUCCUGAUGAACCGUAAUGCCAUUAAUUUGGUGUUGCGGGGAAUUUGGACUGUUACUUUGAAAAAAUUAGAGUGUUUAAAGCAAGCUAACGCUUGAAUACAUUAGCAUGGAGUAAUGAAAUAGGACGUUCGAUCCUAUUUUGUUGGUUUCUAGGAUUGACGUAAUGAUUAAUAGGGAUAGUUGGG
rnacentral:rRNA from 1 species